ensembl:lncRNA
AGUGACUCAGGAGUGCUCUUGCACUGAUUUAUCAAAGUAAGUGAUUAGUAUAGAAAGAAAAUGAAAAUAAUUCAAUAAUGUGACAAGGUUUAAACAUGUAUUCCUCUUGUUAAGUUGGCUGUUGAGCUGUGGGUUUAUGCAAAUUAGCUGGAGUGAGUGAGUGACAAAGACACUUCCUGUGUGUGUGUGUGUCGGAGGCUUUCGGUUCAGUUCAAGAGAGAGCAGUGGCUGUUGAAGAGUAUUGGGAGAAAUAUAUAAUGGCCUGGAGGAGAGUGAACUGACGGCGCUGACAAAAUUACUAAGUACGAAGAUCAGUCUUCAGUGGGGGAGAAGCUGAUUGCAGGCUGACAGGAAACGGUGUGCUUUUGCAGAAGCGAAACCGAAAGCAGAGCGAGUGCAAGCCAUAAUAAAGAGUUAGUAUGCAUUUAUCUUUGAUUUAAGAAGUUGUGCCUGUAUGAGUGACAUUUUCUACAGGAAGUGCACUUGAUGUUCCAGGAGAUAAGCGACAGCGGCGGGCUAACAGGAAGCAUCAGCCGUCGACACGAAGAUGAUGUUCUAUGUUAAAAGUCAUUGUGGUUUUGGUGUGACGUAAAUCUGCCUAGUAACAGAAAAGGGGGCUGUACAAUUCUUAACCCCAUAAAACAGUUGUCUGAAUAUGAGAAAGACAGUUCAACACUGAUUGGGUUGUUGAACUCACACAUGUGUUCA